rnacentral:rRNA from 1 species
UUUAGUUUACCUAUCAUUAAGUUGGGGACGUCUAGAGAGACGUGCCGGUGGAUAAACCGGAAGGGAAGGUGGGGAGUGACGUCAAAUCAUCAUGCCCCUUAUGACCUGGGCUACACACGUACUACAAUGGCGCAUACAACGAGCUGCGAGAUGGUGACAUCAAGCGAAUCUCUUAAAAUGCGUCUCAGUUCGGAUUGGAGUCUGCAACUCGACUCCAUGAAGUCGGAAUCGCUAGUAAUCGCGGAUCAGCAUGCCGCGGUGAAUACGUUCUCGGGGUUU